rnacentral:lncRNA from 1 species
CAAAAUUCAAAAUUAAAUAAAUAGAGCAGAAAGAAGAUAUUUGAAAUGACAUACCAGUCAUACUGCAGCCGAUAAAAGUGUGAAUUCCUUUUCCAAGAUUACUUACUUUGUGGACUCCACCUGCUAUCUCAUAAAGACACUUAAGCAGCAAUGUGGAGAGGUACACCUGAAAAGUAACGGAAUCCUUACGUCAGUAAUCUGCACUAAUUUGCCAGGUAAGUGAGUAAGCCAUCUUGAAAGCAGAUCUUCAUCUCUGUCAAACUUCCAGGUAACUGCAAACCCUAGCCAGCAUCCUGAUGGCAAGCUCAUGCAUGUGAGGUCAUACAUGUUUACUGUUUUUUUAUUCUAAUUUUUGAAGUAAUUUUCUAUGUAGCAUUAGAUUAAAAAUGCAGAUUAUUUUAUUCCAGAACUUCUCAAAGGCUUUAAUGUGCUGAUGUGUAUUUCAAUUUAGAGGAAAGUUUUACAUUACUCUGAGAAAUACAAAUAUUUUUAACCAAACUACUCAUUUCUCAACUGUAUUUCUUGUAAUAUGUAAAACACUCUGCAUAAAAAGAUGGUGUGUAUAAAAGCCAAUAUUAACUGGUAGCUAAUAUGUUCUAGUAUUUUUAUAUGCAUAAUAUAAUUGAAUCCUCACUAAGGUAUUACAAUGUAUUAUUUAUCCCAGUUAGCACUUAGUAGUAGUAAGGCUAAAAGAGAAGAAGAUUUUUCCCCUGAUAAGCCACAGUUGUUUUUCAUGGCAGUGGGGUUUAAAUGCAAGAUUUACUUAAUACAAUUGCAUAGGUGACUGAAGAGAUGGAUUUGCAACUAACUAGCUUUGGGUAUCAGUUUUUGUAAAUUAAAAUGAGGAAGCUGACAUUUUUGAUAUGUAUGCACUUUUUAAGCACCAAAAUUCUGUAGUUGCACUAUAUGAAUUGAAAAGCAGAAAAAAUAUUUUAUUAAUAUUCCAUCUCAACUUAGUAAAAGUAUUAAAUUUUUAAAAUAAUGUCAGGUUUACAAUGGCAAGAACCCAUUAUUUUGAAUCACAAAUAGUGGUUUUUAAAUUACUACUCCAACUAGCUACAUCAGAUGCUUCCGUAGCAAAUAAAAGCAAUUCUGGUAAUAUAACUGAGAAACUUACAUUCUCACCUAAGUAAUUAACAUUUAACUCCUCGGUCUGGAGAGGGAUCCAUGAAACAUAGAUCUUCCAAUAACUAAACAAAAUUAUAGUUCUAUUUUGUAAGCAAGGAAUUUUAUUGGAGGAGCCUAAUUAUUAGGCAACCAGUAAUGUCUGCUGAAACGAGAAUAUGAAAUAUAAAACGUUGAGCAUUACACAAUUUAAAUAUUCUGUUUUCUUCAGUGUCCUUACAUGUUAAAGGAGAAUUAUGCCUACCUUAAAGAGCUAUUUGAUUAUUACAUUGGGUAGUGUGAUUUUUAGUGUGCCU